CUACACGUGUGUGUGUUGAAGAUCCAGCACCAGGAAGUGUGGGGCCCAAUUAGAGAAUUGUCAAUGGAGGCCCUCUACUCUACAAAAGCUGGAAAUUGAUUUUUUAUGCUUCAUGUAGUAUGCCAGUCCCAGACAAAAAGCAUUGA